UACGGAGGGGGCUAGCGUUGUUCGGAAUUACUGGGCGUAAAGCGCGCGUAGGCGGCUUUGUAAGUUAGAGGUGAAAGCCCGGGGCUCAACUCCGGAAUUGCCUUUAAGACUGCAUCGCUUGAAUCCGGGAGAGGUGAGUGGAAUUCCGAGUGUAGAGGUGAAAUUCGUAGAUAUUCGGAAGAACACCAGUGGCGAAGGCGGCUCACUGGACCGGCAUUGACGCUGAGGUGCGAAAGCGUGGGGAGCAAACAGG
rnacentral:rRNA from 1 species